rnacentral:rRNA from 1 species
GAUAAACGCUGGCGGCGUGCCUAAUACAUGCAAGUUGAGCGCGGUACACAGCUUGCUGUGUAUCUAGCGGCGCACGGGUGAGUAACACUGAGCAACCUACCUUUGAGUUCGGGAUAGCCCUGAGAAAUCAGGAUUAAUACCGGAUGUGGUUGCAGAGAGACAUCUCUUUGUAAGUAAAGGCGCAAGCCGCUCAAUGAUGGGCUCGCGGACUUAUUAGCUUGUUGGUGGGUAAUGGCCUACCAAGGCGAUGAUGGGUAGCUGGUCUGAGAGGACGGUCAGCCACACUGGGACUGAGACACGGCCCAGACUCCUACGGGAGGCAG